rnacentral:rRNA from 1 species
GAUCCUGGCUCAGGACGAACGCUGGCGGCGUGCUUAACACAUGCAAGUCGAACGAAGAGCGAUGGAAGCUUGCUUCUAUCAAUCUUAGUGGCGAACGGGUGAGUAACGCGUAAUCAACCUGCCCCUUCAGAGGGGGACAACAGUUGGAAACGACUGCUAAUACCGCAUACGAUCUAACGUCGGCAUCGAGGAUAGAUGAAAGGUGGCCUCUACAUGUAAGCUAUCACUGAAGGG